ACAACUUUGAGCGAAAAUAAAUGCAACAUUUUGCACAUAGAGACCCCCAUAACCAUACCUUUUCUUAAAGGCCAUUCUAAGCGGAAUCGAUUUAUGCAAUAAAAAAGAUAUGUCAUGUACAAAGCAAGAAAGAACUUGACACAAAUCAAAAUCGACUGUUUUUGCAAUUUAUAUUUUCGGCCGUUUCUUAGUGAAAUGUAACCUUUUCUACUGCAAUGGUUUACUUUAGUCUUCAAGUGUAUCAUAUAUCAGGGAUUCAGUUGUGAACACCUAUUCAUGCCCUACCAUUAUCUCCGCAAGAUAACACCCGAAUAAUGGUAAAAAGUGUAAAACAUGCCUUCCUGUCAACUAUGAUAUUUUUUUAGAGAGUAAAGCCCUACAUGAAGCGAUCAUUUAGUGUAUUGUAACCUAUAAGACAACGUUUACUGUUAACAUUGCGAAAAAUAAGCACUCCUCGAUACUUAUAAACCUAUUUUCUAUGUGCAUGCCAAUUUUCAGACCGAUCUUUCACGUAGAAAUGCUUGAAAAUGCAUUUUAUUAUAACGCCUGAUAAGCCAUGUGGCUUUCGCGUUCGGAGCUUUGAUUUAUAACGGGCGUUCAGGCGCAAAACGAUUACCCUAAAUAAUUACAAUCGGUCAAAAUACUAGAAUAUUGUUACAAGCUAUGUAGAAAAAGAAGUAAACAACUAUUAAAACGUGUUCAUGAGCUCUUUCAGCACAAAUUGUUGCGAUUUGAGAUGCUCAAGACGAGUUUUUGUACGUUUAUUUUCUUAUUUUCCUCUGAAAACGUAUUUUUUUCUUAAAAACUCACGAUGCUCCUUAAAUUCGCGAAACAAACGCAUUUAUUCCGUGAAAUUUGCCAAAACGCGUCAUAUCCCACUAAAAAAAUGAUGAUUUUCUGUAAAUACAGCUCCUUUGUGACUAGGCCUGGUUUUGCGUUUAGGUCAUAAUACACCAAAUAGUUUCCCUAUAUAAUUCAAUGUUAAAGCGACAACUUUGAGCGAAAAUAAAUGCAACAUUUUGCACAUAGAGACCCCCAUAACCAUACCUUUUCUUAAAGGCCAUUCUAAGCGGAAUCGAUUUAUGCAAUAAAAAAGAUAUGUCAUGUACAAAGCAAGAAAGAACUUGACACAAAUCAAAAUCGACUGUUUUUGCAAUUUAUAUUUUCGGCCGUUUCUUAGUGAAAUGUAACCUUUUCUACUGCAAUGGUUUACUUUAGUCUUCAAGUGUAUCAUAUAUCAGGGAUUCAGUUGUGAACACCUAUUCAUGCCCUACCAUUAUCUCCGCAAGAUAACACCCGAAUAAUGGUAAAAAGUGUAAAACAUGCCUUCCUGUCAACUAUGAUAUUUUUUUAGAGAGUACAGCCCUACAUGAAGCGAUCACCUACAUGAAGCGAUCAUUUAGUGUAUUGUAACCUUGAUAUUACUUUGGGAAUACAUUUACCAUGACACGGCGCGUUCCAGAAUCAGAUGAGCGUUGUCCUAAUUUAUUUCGCCAAUUUUUCUGUCAGUUUAAUCGUUGUAUGUCUCCAUUCAUCAACCAUUUUAGUAAUGUAAGCGUACUUGUAUUUGUAUGCCCCCGGAUCGAAUGAUCGGGGGUAUAUUGUUUUUGGCCUGUCUGUCUGUCCGUCUACAAACUUUAACCUUGGUUAAACUUUUGCAUAUUGCAAUAACUUUUGCAGUAUUGAAGAUAGCUACUUGAUAUUUGGCAUGCAUGUGUAUCUCAUGCAGCUGCAAAUUUUGAGUGGUGAAAGGUCAUCCUUCAAGGUCAAAGGUCAAAUAUACGGCUUCAAAGCGGCGCAAUUACCGUAUGUCCCAAAACUUUAACCUUGGUCAUAACUUGUGCAAUAUUGAAGAAAGCAACUUGAUAUUUGGCAUGCAUGUGCAUGGUGCUGCACAUUUUAAGUGGUGAAAGGUCAAGGUUAUCCUUUAAUGUCAAAGGUCAAAUAUAUGGCUUCAAAGCGGCACAAAAGGGGGCAUUGUGUUUCUGACAAACACAUCUCUUGUUUCAUAUUAUCAUCAUAGCCAUGCGUUUUUGUGACGUUUAACAGUGCUCACUUACUUUGUUUAUUCUUUAACUCUUUUUUCCAACAGAUUUAUUUCAUUAAAUCACAGUUGAUUAAUUUGACGUAUUAUCGCCAUUAUUUUGUAUUGCUCAUUUUCAAUACAAUCAAAUGAUCUAACGCCCAUGGUAUAGUCACAGUGUUUGGCUCAAAAUUCACUGUUGUUAGUGCUAGACCAUCUUAGAGUUAUUCCAACAGAAGCACUUUCUCAUGUUUCAGGUUUGGCCCAUCGAUUCAUACCCAGUACCAGAAAUCAACCAAAACUCCGUUAAGCUGGUGCAAACUCACCGCACCAAGUGGCCAAACGAGAUGAUACAUAAACAAAGACAAACCCUCCGCGGCGUUCCUGUGACGGAAGUGCACUUCACGUGGGAGAAUCAGAACUUCCGGUACUGGAUAUAUGGAAGUGAGCGCCGCGUCUACGCUCCUGACUACCCACAGCAGUGCUGUUGCGGCUGCACGCUCAUUUAACUUUUGGUGUUCAAAGUUUCGGUCGAAGACAGAUGACAUGUUUAUCCGUUGAGCCUAUUGGACUUAUGCUAGUGUAUCGACUAAAUCUUGUUUACAAAUGUCGUUUGGUGUUUUGUUUUCAGUUGGAGAUACGUGCCAUUUUUGUAAUGUCAGAUAACAUAUGCAUGUUUGAUAGCACUUCGGUACUUUACAGAACUUGAAACUCACUCAAUGAAUUAGUAACAUUCAGGGCAUUUUCUAUCCUGAAUGUUAGCUUCACAUAAUAAGUACAUUUUAGGCAUUUUUUUUGUCGAUGGUCGCAGUUGUAUGUUCUGUAGAUCUGCCAUGUUGUGAUAUCUUUUGGUAUUACAUUGUUCUUUUAUCUGUAUGAUAUUAUGUGCUUGUUGAUCCAUACUAUUUUUUUCCUAUCUACCGCAUAUAAUUUUUUAACUAUUGUUAUACGAUUGUAAACACAUGCAUUUACAUUAUAAGGUAUACAGUUUCAUACUCGCGUAUUCAAUUAUACAUUCUUUUAACGUUUUUACGUUGUUUUUAAUACGAAGUUGUCUUUAUUUUUUAUGGAACCUCUGUAUAUUACCAUUUUGUUCACACUGCAUUUUUUUUUGGUUUUUAUCUUAUUGACUGUGUAUAUUUUUUAAUUUGAUUGUUAGUCCCCUACCGGUGAAACUGGAGGGGAAUUAUUUCACCGGAAGGGACUGAUGGUUUGUGCUCUGUGAGUCUGUCAGUCUGUCUGUCACACUUUUCUGGAUCCUGCGAUAACUUGAACAGUUCUUCAUAUUUUUUCAUGAAACUUAAAACAUGGACAGAUGGCAAUAUGGAGAUUAUGCACGUCAUUUCAUUUUGUUCCUACGUCAAGAAUUAUGGUUGCUAUGCAACAAAUAGACUAGAAAUAUUGCUGAAAAUGGUGUAUCCUGCGAUAACUUUCAAAGUUCUUCAUAUUUUUUCAUGAAACUUGAAACAUGGAUAGAUGACAAUAUGGAGAUUUUGCAUGUCAUUUCAUUUUGCAUGCUUUGGCAAAUAUACUAGAAAUAUUGCUGAAAAUGGUGGAGUUUCACCGGUUGGGGACUUUUAUUGCUUGCUCUUGUUUAUUAUAAUCUUUAUAACUAUUAGAUAAUUAACUGCUGAUAUUUUUCCGGUAUAUUUUCCUUUUCAGAAUAAAGCGUAUCAAUGAUA